GCACUGGUGGCGAAAUGGUAUACGCUCUGGUCUCAGAAGCCAGUCUGGAAACAGGUGUGGGUUCAAGUCCCAUCCAGUGCACCA
rnacentral:tRNA from 1 species